CUGAGUCCCAUGAAGCCAGAUCACUUCUGACUGCAAGGAGCUUGGGAAAGCAAGAAUCUGGAUCUUUUACCAGCUAAAUUUGGAGUGAUUUCCAUGAAAAAACCUUGAAUAACAUUUCCCACUUGAGAAACGCAUCUGUCAGGUGAUGUCAAUGCCUGGCUUACUCCUCUUCCUGUUGGGUUGUAAACACGGCCUUCUCUCAUGAUCCUGGAAUGCUGACAUGGUCGGGCAGCCAGAGCCUAACACAGUCUAAGACAGAAGAAAACUGCAGAAGAUUGCUACCCAUUCAAGUAGAAAAACUCAAGCUGGAAAAUUAACAGCACAGCUGGAAAGGCUAAUGAACUUAGCAUUUAAAAAUGCUUGUAGAGCCGCCAGAUCUACCCCUCAAUCCCAGAGACCCUGCACUGGAUGGAUCAGCUGGCACCACGCAGAUGAAUAAACUGGCUCAUCUGAUCUUGUGGCCUUCACCCAGGAACUGACUCAGCAGAAGACAGCUUCGAUGCCCUAUGAUUUCAUCUCCGACCCAACCAUCAGCAUUCCUGACUCAUGAACCCCCUACCCAUCAAAUUAUCCUUAAAAACUCCUAACCCCAAAUUCUCCAGGAAACUAAUUUGAGUAAUAAUAAUGCCCAUCAAUGGUGGAUUGGAUAAAGAAAAGAAAUGUGACACACACAC